UGAAGUAAAGAAGAGGAGCAACUGCCUGGUCAUCAGUGAGAAAAUGGCAAAACAUUCUCCAUUCGCAGGCAGGAAGUUGUCAUUCAGCACCAUCAAUCGUGACUUGAGAGACCGAUGGCCUGGUCUUUUCGAUGCAACUCAGAUAAAUGAAGAAUUCAGAAGGCUCACCACUGUUGGCCUUGAGACAACAUUCAUGGCAAAACUGGACCAGUAUACCCCGAAAAUAAUGGCACUGGUGUCCUCAAGAGGAGGAGCU